AUUGAACGCUGGCGGCAUGCUUUACACAUGCAAGUCGGACGGCAGCACAGAGAAGCUUGCUUCUUGGGUGGCGAGUGGCGAACGGGUGAGUAACAUAUCGGAACGUACCGAGUAGUGGGGGAUAACUGAUCGAAAGAUCAGCUAAUACCGCAUACGUCUUGAGAGGGAAAGCAGGGGACCUUCGGGCCUUGCGCUAUUCGAGCGGCCGAUAUCUGAUUAGCUAGUUGGUGGGGUAAAGGCCUACCAAGGCGACGAUCAGUAGCGGGUCUGAGAGGAUGAUCCGCCACACUGGGACUGAGACACGGCCCAGACUCCUACGGGAGGCAGCAGUGGGGAAUUUUGGACAAUGGGCGCAAGCCUGAUCCAGCCAUGCCGCGUGUCUGAAGAAGGCCUUCGGGUUGUAAAGGACUUUUGUCAGGGAAGAAAAGGCUGUUGCUAAUAUCAUCAGCUGAUG
rnacentral:rRNA from 1 species